ensembl:lncRNA
GGGGUACUCUAAUGUUUUAUCACAUCAAAUAAAGUUUCUCUCCACGAAUUUUACCAUUUUAAAACCCAACCGAACCCCCCCGGACAGACACCGCGCCGCAUCCCAUUUAGCGCUCCCUUUCCUUUCACGUUAAUAAAAGCAGACAGCGGGAAUAAUACAGUUAACCCGGGAUAUACCGGGAUAACUCUGAGCUGCUGCCCUCAUCAAGUGAGCACGUGCGCUGCUCACCACCUCGCACUUGUGUUGUCACGACUUCUGACCCGUUUCCACCGGUUAGCGCCACACGGAGGAGGCAUCAAGGUGGAGACGUGGAGGAACCUCGGUGGCUUCCUUCGGACGGCGCAGGUUGGAGGAGCCUGGUGGAGGAGGCUGGUGGAGGAGGCUGAUGGAGGCGGCGCAACCUCUUCUCCACCAUCAGCCUUCCUCCAACUUAACUCCACGCGACACAAACUCCUCGUGGGAGCCCACAGGUGUGAUCAUCAUGCAUGAAUGGAGACUUGUGGACAAACUCAGCUGUCCGUCUCAUCUCAAACCCCAUAUCGGCGCGCAUUUAGUCUCUAUAGCUGCAGAAACCUCUGGACAGAUGUUGUCACAGCCGCAGAGACACUUUUGAACAAACACGGGGAACUAUUUCGAAGAUCGAUAGUCUGAAGAAUGAACAGUUAACCAAAAGUCAAUCUAGUAGUAAUUGUUCUCACACUCGCAUAAAAGCAUAAACGUCCGUAAAAACUACUACUAAUGAUACAAAUAACAAGCGGUCACAAUCGGCCAGUAUUCCGCUCCGAUUAGGCGGAAGUGAUCAGUUUACUUCCCCUUUAGUUCCUGCGCGCUCGUUCAGACACAGACUGGACCGGUGAUGCGUUCACUGUCUGUUGCGUUUGCGGGACAAAGUGUUUCCGCGCCACACGGGGGCAGAAACACUGAGGGAAUCCACGCACCUUCACUCACCGGGCCAGGUGGGUUUCACCGGGAUUAUGGACGCCUACAGUUAAAGGUGUGACUUCGUACCAACAGGUGUAAUGUUGAUAAUGACAAAAUUACGUUGUUUAUAAUAAAUAUAGCAAUUUGCUUCAUUACAUGAAUUAUGUUGAUUGUUCCUUCAAUUUUCAUUGCAAAUAACUUUUCAUCUUUCCUUUUUUUAGAGAUAUUUUGUGAGAUACAAAAUAAUAAUAAUUGUAAUUGCCUUGUUGUUUUAAAUCGCCUUGUUGUCCCAAACAAUCUUGAUUAAUAAUAAUCAACUAACUCACGUGUUGUUUUCGAUUUUUCUUUUCCGAAGUUAAGGUCCGUGGAUGUAAAUUAAAUAAAAUCGAUAACUAAUUAUGAUAAAUAAGUAAAUUAAUAAAGUUGUACCAUGCCGACUAACUGUCAAAACAUUAACACAAGCAAUGUAAACAAAAUGAUUUAUUGAAACUGAAUAAACUUUCUUAGUUUAUACAUUUGCGAAUAAAACCUGCACUUCCUUUUACUCAAGUUUGUAUUCUCAAAAUGAUCCGAUAAGAUUAGAUUUAACUAUUAUUCUAAAGAUGAUGAUUAAAAAUCAAUAAAUUACUGUUGAAGCAAAUAUAUUUUUGACAUUCGCAUAUUUAAGCUUCACGGAUCACAAAGUGAGACGUUUCUUCUCAGCUGGUCGCUUUUUUAUUUGGAGGUUUGCUGAUGACACGUAGGUGUGCUGAGCUCUGUAAAUACUGACCCCAUAACUGAAGAAUACCCCCCCACAACGGAAUUAACCCCCCCAAACGAACUGCCGGCUGUGAGCAGCACUUUAAAAAAGAAGAUUCACACCAAUUUAAAACAUCUCAGGACCUUCAGACAUGAUUAAAAAAACCCGCAGCGCAAUAUGACCUCCAUUAUUUUUACUGCGCAGUAAAACGCGGGUGGCCGCCAGGGCCCAUUACUUCACAUUACUUCACAUUACUUCACAUUACUUCACAUUACUUCACAUUACUUCACAUUAUUUCCCCACUUUAUAUUACGGAACACGUUGCACGUGGAAACGUUCGCCCACAAAGUCCCACGAGGACGCGAGUCCCGAUGUGAGUUUCAUUGCGCGGAUAUUAGCUGUAAGUUGUGCGGUUGAUGAUGAAGGAAAACCGCGUUACUAUUUCCAGCUGCAGCUCCUUUAUUGAUAAACGGCAAAAAAAACUAAAAAAACAAUCGAUAAGAACAAUAUUAGACAGUCGGAAAUGUGUCUUUCUGCAAAUCAGGAAUCAGGAAAAUCUCUCUGAAGGCAACAGGUGUUUUUUUCUGGUGAACUGAACCAACUGAGUUUUUAUGUCUUUACCUCCAGGAUGAGCGUGAUUGUGCAGUGUGUGUGUGUGUGUGUGUGUGUGUGUGUGUGUGGGGGGGGGGGGGGGGCUUCUCACUAAACCACAUGUGCUCCCAGCUAAGCAUUAGUGGACGGAUUUGGAAACUACAUCUGAAAGGGCAUUUUCCUUUUGAAAAUGAAAAAUACCAAAGGGUCAGAUAAUCUCCAGGAAUCAUGAUUAGACCAAAGUAAACGAGCGCUGAGCUCACUCAGCCAUUGUGUUUGCAAUGUUACACCAUGUAGGCUGCGUGCUAAUAAGACUUUAGACCCAUUGGGCCUAAAUAUCAAAAAAGCUUCGGCGCACGUGGCCGACAGGGCGGAAAAGAAACGCACAAAGGAAAAAGUUUGGAUUAACAUUCGUCUCAGCAAUCGUCCGACAUUUCAACGGACGGACUCACGUGUGUUCGUUUGACCUUUUAACUAAAUGUCCCGCUUUUGUUUCUACUCGGGCGACAUGAUGUUAGCUCACGCGAGUCUGACUGAUCAUCGUGUCCUGAGUCGAGUCUUCAAGUCCCAAAUAGACCAUUGUGCACUUAAAAGAUUGCAAAUGAAGUAAAUUUGUUGUGUUUUUUGGCUUGUCACUGUUUUUAAUUGCUGACUUAUUAAGGGAAAUACAAGCAAUGUGUUUGUUUUAUGGGGUGGGGGGGGGCAGUCCACCCCAAACAACCAACUAAAGAAGGAUGACUUACUGGUUCCCAGAUGGUUUAUGUGUUUGACCUCGUAACACAAAGUGCUCGUGACCUCUCGUCACAGGUCGUAUGCAUAAACGUUGUUAGUAGUUCUGUGAAAAGAGUGAUUACCUCUCCUCAGAUUGUUUACUUUGGAGAACUUUUAGAGGCUUAAAGAGGAGAAACGGGAGUUCUUACAAAGAAACAGCAAGAAAUAGUCGAAAAGUUCCUCAUUAAACAUGGUUUUGUUUCAAUAAAAAUAUUCAGUAAUUUAUUUUUUUCUUUUUCCUUUUGUAACUAUUUUUACCAUCUCAGAACACUUUAUAAGGUCCCGCCCCCCCAGGUUGGGAAACACCUGUUUAAGGAAAACAGUUCAAAUACACAUUCUGGAAAAUAUACAUUUCUUUUAUUUUUUGUCAUUAAUUUUUGUGCCAAAGAAUAAAAGCUCAAUUUUCCAUUUACAGUGUGAAAUCCCAGAAACAAACAUCUCACAUUUGUAACAAAAUAAAACUCCAGAGUUAAAAAGAGAAAAACAUGUUGUAUUUUAAAUGAAAAUGUUUCCCUGAAGCGACGCUAAAGAACUCCGGCUUCCUGUCGGGACUUUAUUUUGGCGGGAGAGGCUGAUCUGGUGAGACCCAUUCACGUAUUAUUCCUCUCAGAGUCCCUCGCAUUAUUUUUAGCAGCUGAAAGUGGCUGUUUUCAAAAUAAGUUCCUGACCGUAUGUUUAUCAAAAGAUCCGCGUGCCACAGCGGUGGCAUUUCCCUGUGUGUGUGUGUGUGUGUGUGUGUGUGUGUGUGUUGCCUCUGUAACUGCAGGCCAUGGUGACAAAUGGAUUCCACGUUUUUCAGGGAAACACGCUGGAGGCCCCGGGGAGCUUUGUUGUUUAUGAAGAACACGUGAAACCGAUCAAAUCUGAAUUAUCUUCCUGUUGUUCCAGCUUUUGUCGUUGGCAGUUUUCAGUUCUCUCGCCAGCGGUGUCACCACCCAGCGAGCAGGUCGGUGCAUGAAAAGGUAAGAGGGGGGGGGGGGGGCUGCAGACAAACACAUGCAGUGAACUCACAUGCUCCCCUGGAGAUCACAUGCUGGUGCACCCACACUCUGAAGGAGAUUCAACCGGUUUGUCACUUUCACUUAUUAUGUGGCAAAGACAUCACGUACA